UAAGGAAUAUUGGUCAAUGGACGCAAGUCUGAACCAGCCAUGCCGCGUGGAGGAUGAAGGUCCUCUGGAUUGUAAACUUCUUUUACCUGGGAAGAAACCCAUGUUUUCUAACGUGGUUGACGGUACCAGAUGAAUAAGCACCGGCUAACUCCGUGCCAGCAGCCGCGGUAAUACGGAGGGUGCAAGCGUUAUCCGGAUUCACUGGGUUUAAAGGGUGCGUAGGCGGGCAGGUAAGUCAGUGGUGAAAUCCCCGAGCUUAACUUGGGAACUGCCGUUGAUACUAUCUGUCUUGAAUAUCGUGGAGGUGAGCGGAAUAUGUCAUGUAGCGGUGAAAUGCUUAGAUAUGACAUAGAACACCAAUUGCGAAGGCAGCUCACUACGCGAUGAUUGACGCUGAGGCGCGAAAGCGUGGGUAGCAAACAGGAUUAGAUACCCCCGUAGUCC
rnacentral:rRNA from 1 species